AAUUUCUCUCGAGUGUAAAUGCCACGCGUUCACACAUCAGGUUGGCUGAAAGGGAGGCGUUUUCCUCCCAAGCCACUGUGCUCUUGCCUCAUGAAAGGUGGGCCCAGGUUUCCACAGCUGGAAGAGCAGCCAGGUCAGCCCUCACCACCUGGUCUCCAGGCCGGGGUCUCCUGGCAAGAAAAGAUCCCUGCUUUGGGUGGUGAACCGGUUUCCUAGGGCUGUCAUUAACUAAAUACCACAGACUGGGUGGCUUAAAACAGCAGCAACUUACUGUCUCCCCAUUUUGGAGACUGGCAGUCAUGCUCCCGGUGCAGGCACUAGGAAAGGGUCUGUUCCAGACCUGGCUCCUGGCAGCCUCAGGCAUUACUCGGCUUGUCGAUGGGCCUCUUUCCCUGGGUGUCUUCACAUCGUCUUCCCUCUGUGCGAGUCCGCCUCUGCAUCCACAUCUCCCCUUUUUAUUAAAACCAUCAGUCCUAUGGAAGAGGGGCCCACCCUACUGACCUCAUUUUUCUUUGAUUACCUCCUAAAAGACCCGACUUCCAAGUAUGCUCACAUUCUGAGGCACUUGGGAUUAGGACUUCAACAUAUAUUUUGCAGGAAAUUAAAAUCAGCCCCUAACAGGUGAUGAGCAGAAAGAGACUGGGGCCAGAGCCUAACCUCGUGCCCUCUCACUUCCAGUGUCUCUGUCUCCUGGGUCGACAAAGGAUAAGCUCCAGAGAACUGUAUUCCCAGUGCCCAGAACAAUGCUGGUGUAUAUUAGGCCCCAAUACAUAUUUUAUUAAAGCAAUAAAUGCAUGCAUGAAGGAAUGCAUGAACCCACCAGCCAGUCAAUGCAUGGCCAGUGGCCUAGACAGAGAGAGCAGAGAACCAGUAUGCCCUGUACCCUGUGGGUCCUGAUCCUAAGGGACAAGGUAGUUGAGGGUCUCUGGUCGUCUGUGACCUACACCACAGCUCACCAUAAUGCUGGAUCCUUAACCCACUGAGCGAGGCCAGGGAUCAAGCUCACAACCUCAUGGUUCCUAGUCAGAUUCAUUUCCACUGCACCACGAUGGGAACUCCAUACCACAUCUUUAUUUAUUCAUCUGUCAAUAGACAUUUAGGUUAUUUCCAUGUCUUGGCUCUUGUAAAUAGUGAUGCUGUGAACAUAGGGGUGCACUAUCUUUUUUUUUCAAAUUUUUUUUAUUACUCAAAUGAAUUUAUCACAUCUGUAGUUGUAUAAUGAUCAUAACAAUCCAAUUUCACAGGAUUUCCAUCCCACAGCCCAAGCACAUCCCCCCACCCCCCAAACUGUCUCCUCUGGAGACCAUAAGUUUUUCGAUGUCUGUGAGUCAGCAUCUGUUCUGCAAAGAAGUUCAGUCUGUCCUGUCUGUCCUUUUUUUCAGAUUCCACAUGGCAGUGAAAGCAUUUGAUGUUGGUGUCUCAUUGUAUGGCUGACUGACUUCACUUAGCAUGAUAGUUUCUAGAUCCAUCCAUGUUGCUAAAAAUUCUGGUAUUUCAUUCCUUUUAAUAUCUGAGUAAUAUUCCAUUGUGUAUAUGUACUACAUCUUCUUGAUCCACUCCUCUGUCAGUGGACAUUUGGGUUGUUUCCAUGUCUUAACUAUUGUAAAUAGUGCUGCAAUGAACAUCGGAGUACAUGUGUCUUUGCGAGUUGUGGUUUUCUCUGGAUAGAUGCCCAGGAGUGGGAUUGCUGGAUCAAAUGGUAGUUCUAUUUUGAAUUACAGUUUUAUCCAGAUAUAUGAGGAUGGGCCUUAACUUAAUCACGUCUGCAAAAUUCUUUUUUACAUAUGCGAGAGUAACAUUCCCAGGUUCCAGGGAUUGGGACCUGAUAUCUUUGGGAGGGACAUUAUUCCACCUACCAUAGGAAAUGUGUGGGUUUUGUCCACUUCUGUUGCACCACAACCUAGAACAUAGGAACAUAGUGACAACGAUGAGUAGUAUAAACUCAGUGCAUUAGCUGAUCAAAAUACAUUGUGUCAGGAUUCAGACUCAUGGGAAUCCAUAAGGAGAGCUGGGGGCAGGUUAUUGAAGUGCCAGGCAUAGAGGGCUUUAACUUGGUGCUUUCUGAAACACAUAUCAACUCCCACCAACAUCCCACCUUCUCCCUCCCGGUUCAGCAGCUUUCCACUACCCCAGGGAUAAAGUCCAAAGAGAUUCCUGCUUACCUCUACCAGCUUACCUUGCCUCUCUCCUGACACCUCAUACUGCCUGCCUGCCUGUCUGUCUGUCUGUCUCUCAGCCCUCUUGCAUUAUCAUUGCUUCUGUAAUUUUCUGUCUCCUCUACUAGACUAAAACUCCAAGGGGACAACUUUAAGCUUAGCUCACCUCCCCCAUCUCCAGCCCCCAGAACAGAACCUAGCACUUAGUAGGUGCUCAUAUAUCUGUUAAGUGAAUAGGGGAACUUCAACCUAAUGGGUUAAGAGCCAGACAGCUCUGCUUUUGAGACUAUUGACUUAUCAGGAGAAACUGAACCGUCAGCCCAUUCCCCAAUGCCUAGACUGGAGGCCUGGCUGAUAAAUCAUCAACACAUAUUUGGUAGGGAUGGGAUGCAAAGAGCCUGUUGGGAGCAGAGGGUUCAGGAAGGAAGAGUGUGUGUGCUUUGGUAAGAACCUUGGCGUCGUGUCUUGGGCGAACCUGAAAGUUCAUCAGACAGGUUGGAAUGGGAUUCAGUGGAGAAUGGGACCCCAUGACUGGUCCUUUCUGAUAUAGGAGAUGGACUGAAGCUAGAGAUUGGGGGGGAGGGGGAGUUUCCUGGCAGCAGGUGCAAAGUACACUGGAACAGGGCAGAGAGAUGGUGGAAGGACACGGGGUGGAAGGACACGGUGGGUGAUGGCUUGGAUUCGUGUGGAAACAUCUGCAAUGUUACAAAUAAAUGACAGAGCUUGGAUUCAGACUGAAGGGAGAGGCAGCCUCCGGAGCGAAGGUAGCCCGCCCUGGGCACACACAGGAAGAGUAGCACCAGGCGGAGUAGCCAAGACUUUGUGCCACCAACCUGGCUGACAGAGGAUUUGGUGCCCCUGCAGGAGGUGGGGGGGAAUAAGGAGGCCAGAUGAUCAUGUUGGCUUGGGACAAGUUGGGUUUGCAAAAAAGAUAGGAUAUCCUAGUGUUACUAUUACUGUUGCUGCAAUUACUGUUUUUAUGCUCUUACCGUUUAUUAGUACACAUUGAAUACUUUUCUAUACACCAAGUUGCAUUAGGCUGUUCUUCCAUUGAUCCUAUUAUUUGAUUCUCCUAACAACCUUCUGAGGAAUAAUUUCACCUAUUAUUCCCAUAAUACAGAUGAGAAAACAGAGAUAUCUUUUUUCCUCUGAAUUGCUCUCUCCCUCAAACAAGAUGUUAUUAUAACAUUUUUCUAAUACACUCAUGUGACACUGAGCAUAAUAAUUUUUUAAUUUCUUCCCCUGUGAGCCUGCUGAUAUUUCAUCAACCAGUGAGCAUUCUGACUCCAUUCAGUCAGCCAAGAAGUAACCCCAUUUCUCCUUUGUGUAUAGGGUUUUCCUUACUGAUACGUAUCACCAUAUAUUUUUCAAUAUUUUUUAUGGUCGCACCAUAUGGUGGCACAUGGAAGUUUCCCAGGCCAGGGAUUGAAUCUGAGCCACAGCUGCAACCCAAGCCACUGCAGCAGCACCAGAUCUUUUAACCCCAUGCACAGGGCCAGGGACCAAACCUGCACCUCCACAGCGACCCAAGCCACUGCAGUCAGAUUCUUAACCCACUACACCACAGCAGAAACUCCUAUUUUCUAGUAUUUUGGCCACCCUCCUCUAACCAGGGUCAUAGCAUGUUGGAGCCUUAUGACUGUUAGCUGGAAAUUCCUCUGGAAAAGGACAAAAAAAAUAACAAAGACCGGCCCCUUAUGUCUGAAAAAAUUAUCCACUAAGUAUUAUUUUGUUUCCUGUCCUUACAUACUCAGAACUCACCUUCCUUCUCACACUGAUUUAUAGAGUACAGCAAAGACCCAUAUAGAUCUGACCAUAUAGGAAGCUACAGAUGCCAUGGGGUUGUUUAUAAUUAAUGAACAUUGGAGUUCCCGUCUUGGCGCAGUGGAAACAAACAUGACUAGGAGCCCUGAGAUUGCGGGUUUGAUCCCUGGCCUCGCUCAGUGGGUUAAGGAUCUGGCGUUGCCGUGAGCUGUGGUGUAGGUCGAAGAUGCGGCUCCGAUCUGGCAUUGCUACAGCUGUGGUGUAGGUCAGUGGCUAUAGUUCCAAUUCGACCCCUGGCCUGGGAACCUCCAUAUGCCGUGGAUGCAGCC
ensembl:lncRNA